rnacentral:RNase_P_RNA from 20 species
AAGAGUAGGAGUAGGUGGUUGCGGACUUGAGAUCGCAAGUCUGAGGAAAGUCCGGGCUCUCGAAAGGCCAGACUUGCUGGGUAACGCCCAGUGCGGGUGACCGUGAGGAGAGUGCCACAGAAACAUACCGCCGAUGGCUUGUUUCGCUACAGGAUAGCCAAACAUUCACAGGUAAGGGUGCAAGGGUGCGGUAAGAGCGCACCAGCAACGUCGAGAGGCGUUGGCUCGGUAAACCCCGGUGGAGAGCAAGGCAGAGGGCAACGGUUGGUCUUUUCCCCGCUCUCGUUUGUAGCGCCGCUUGAGGCGUCUGGUAACAGGCGUCCCAGAUAGAUAACUACCCUCUUUCGACCAAUCCUGGGCCAAUGUCCGGGUGGAGAAAGAGAACAGAACCCGGCUUACCGCCUGCUCUUCCCU